ensembl:snRNA U6 U6 spliceosomal RNA
GUGCUCACUUUGGCGGCAGUUAUAUUAAAAUUGGAACAAUACAGAAAAAAUUAGCAUGGCCCCCAUGCAAGGAUGACAUGCAAAUUUGUGCAGUGCUGCAUAUUAAA